rnacentral:lncRNA from 1 species
AUCAUUUCUGUUCAAAGCUUAAAUUAUUAUAGGCUCAUAAAAGGCCCAUGAAGAGUUGCAAAUAAGUAAACGACAUUUUGGCCUUUUGGUUCGAGAGUCCCACAUCGGAAAACUGAUUGACGUUAUCAGCAGAAGUUGUAUUAUAACAGAGACUCUCUCGUCUCCGUUAAAAAUCACGCAGCCAUGUGGUGAGCACAAAGCGAACUAUUCUUGAGAAGUUUACAUUCUCAGUUACUUUACUUGGGCCUUUAACAGUUUAAAGCACUUCUGGCUGGAGGUAUACUUCUAGACAUACUUUAUGACCUGCUAUUACAUAAAUACCCUUGUGUGUAAGGAGAUGUGCGAUCUGAUUUUGUAAAAGCUAAAGACUAGUUAAGGCUCUCUUGUUGUAAGUAAUUGUCAGAUUUAUGGAGUGAUGUGCUAUAAUAACGACCGUCAGAUUAAAGGAAAGAAAAAUUCAUUUGACGACUGGUGUUAAAAGUAAUACAAAUCCAGAAAAAGAGGAAAGUUGAUGGAUAAUAAAUGUUGUCUCUUCUCGUGCUGGUUUUUGACGAAGAAUCUUCUUUCUUCUAGGAAUCUGCGGUAAGGAUUCGAAGAUUUGUAAUCUACUUUGCAAAUUUCUAUUCGUGUUUGAGAUAGUUGUUUGACGCCAUGUAACUUGCGGUUGUCUCUGUUGUGUGAACAUGGAUAACUAUAACCUGACCACACGUAUUUUUUGUAGGUUCAAACCACAAAUAAAGCUAGCAGCGAACAUUUACUACCAAAACACUUGAUUAUUUACUGACACAAAUGAAGUCAACAUGUGUAGAUAAUGAUUGGUAGCCUUGUAAGCAACUCUUUGUACAAACUAACCCUUAGAAGGACUCCUAUAAUUAUGGUAAACCACAGUAUGGUGGCCACACAUAGUGGAUGUGAGAGAUGACCACAACUGCGUUGGUGACCAAGCAUACAACAAACAUUAACUUUCAUGAGUUUAUCUUUGUCCACAGCUGCGUUGAAUUUUCUUGAUUUCUUUUGGAUGCCAUUCCGUUGCUGAGUAGAGGCUAGAGAUAAUCAUCUCUACUCUAAUCAAAGAUAGAAAGGGUUCAAACCAUCAACUACACCCUGAUAAACUAGAUACAAGGAAGGGACCAUAAACAGGAGAAGCUCAUGGGCAGAGGAGAUCGAGGCACUUCACCGGCUCCGGAUCCAACCAUAUAGCUCCAGACCACCGCAAGGCCACGACAGACACUAUACCAGACCGUCCAUGACCACCUCGACAAAUAUGUCCAAAAAUGAACUUUUAGAUCUGAAUUCUCCAGAUCCACAUCCAAAGCUUAAAAAAAAUACAAAAUACACACUAGAAACCUAAAUAAAUAAAACUAGACCGGCGAUGGUGCUAAAGGAGCCACCACACGCCGGUCACCGGAGAUUCAGUUGCAGAAAACGAAGAGUGGAGGAAAAGGUUCGGGAGAGAAGAUAAAGUUUUUUUUUCUUUGGUUAGUUACUCAUCUGGUUUAGGUUUUUAUGUUUUUUUACAUUUUGUCUCUGGUUUUGGUUGAAGGGUAAGUUAGAGAAUUGCACAUGAG